rnacentral:lncRNA from 1 species
UAGCAACCUUUACUACUUGUGAAAAUAAGUUCAUAACGAUUAGGUGAAAUUCACUUAUAUUCUAGCAUCAAAUUCAUGCAUGUAAAUUAAGCGUGCACUCUCAACCAACAUACACAAAUCAGUUUUUAUACGAACGGAUAAGUAAAUUGAAAUCACAACUUAUGAAAUCACAACCGAAGGUAAUCAAUUCAUAUUACAAAUAUAUUCAUGGUUUCGAAUUAACCUCUAGCCAAAAUCAAUUUAUUUACACAUUAUUAAAAAUAGAAAUAAAAUAGAAGUUUAGAGAGAUUAAACCGAAAGAGAGGUGAAGAUCUCUGUCUGCGUUCUCCUUUCACGCUGUAUUGGACCGUCCUCACCUUUGUACUGACUCUGUCCUCCUUAUUUUCUGCGCCUAUUCCUGCGUGCUGACCUUCACAAGCUGCCCAAAGGCAGCCUUCUCUCGUCAGUCCCCCGCUCCGCUUCUAACCUGCUCUACCUUCUGACCAGCUGCAAAGCAGCUGUCACGCCUGAUCUGGACUGCCCUUGCUGUCUCUAUUCCCGUGCUGACUUGCCUUGUUUCUCCGUCCUCACUCCUCUUUUCCUCCAGCUGCCAAAGGCAGCUUUCCCCUGCAGCUUCUUGCUGCUCUCUGGACUCUCCCGCCUUCUGCUAUUCCACGCUGCCCAAAGGCAGCCCUUUCACUCACCUCUGCACGUCAACUCAUGCUCAAGCUGCCAAAUGGCAGCUUUCUUUCUUAACCUCUCUCUUCAGUCACGCUGCCAAGGCAGCGUCUCUUCUCCCGCCUCUGUCUCUCUGACCUCGCUGCCCAAGGGCAACGAUCUCCCCAAUCCCGUGCGCACUCUGCGCUUAUUCCCCUUUCUUCUGUUUCUUUAUUUUUUUAUAUCCUUUUCUGCUUCUGGCAGCAGGGCUGCCCCCCACCAAUCACGCCAACCUUAUUUUUUUUUUCUAUUUCGUGUCCCUCUCCUUUCUAUCCCCCUCGUAAUUUUUUAUUCUCUUUUCUUUCACGCCUAACCUUCCCGUCAGUCAAGGUUGCCAGCUGCAAAAGGGCAGCUCCUUCCCAUCCUCAAUUCUCUUGGAUUCCUUUCACCCCCCUUUCUGCCUUUUUCUUCUUUUAUUUUAUUCUUCUUUUGUUUUCCUGUUGUUUUUCACGUUUUCUUUUCUUUUCUUUAUUCUUUCUACAAAACAUAACAAAUCUUAUAAACACAAAAAUAACGUAAAUAGCUCAAAAAUAUAAGGAACUAACUAAGAAAAGACGAGUGAAUUCGAAGUAAAAAUAUAUAUAAAUAUGAUCCGAUCAGAAAUCACAACCGAAGGUAAUCAAUUCAUAUUACAGAUAUAAUCAUGGCUUUGAAUUAACCUCUAGCCAAAAUCAAUUUAUUUACACAUUAUUAAAAAUAGAAAUAAAAUAGAAGUUUUAGAAAGAUUUAACCGAGAGAGAGAAGGCUUGCAGCUUCUGUCCACCUGACGUUGUCUCUGUCCUCCUCCCAUCCGCGCUACUCUCUUCUAACCUCUCUGACCUCCCUCUAUUUUCUUUCUAUUUUCUGUCCCUCACGCUGCCCAAAGGCAGCUUUCUGCUCUCCAAUUCCUGUUCCGUGUGCUUUUCUUCACACGCUGCCAAGGCAGCCCUCUCUCCUUUGCUCUCUCCACUCUCACGCUGCCCAAAAGGGCAGCUCCCUGUGCUCACCCUGUCCCUUGCGUCUCUGCGAGCUGCCCAAAGGCAGCUCCCUCUUUUUCUUCUCGUUUCUCCCCCAAGACCGCCCCCUUAUAUCUCCUGCUUCUGACAGUCUCCCCGCGCUGGCACUGAAGCUUUGCUGCUUCUCUCUGACCUCCUGCCCUCUCGUGUUCUCUCCAGCUGCAAAGGCAGCUUUUGGUUCUUUUUUUAUUCCUUUCUUCACCCUCCCACGAUGUAAACCAGCUGUUCCGUCUGUUGCCUUAAACAAAAGGCAAUGAUUUCUUUUCAAAGCCCCCAAGGCCACCAGUGGAAACCCCAUCAUUGAUGUCCCCCGUGCUCUCCACUUUCUUCUCUAAUUUCUUUGCUAUUUUCUGCAAAUUAAGUGGAAUCCCCACUUUUCUGGCAAAGCCACGCACCUUUAUUUUCAUUUAGUUUCUAGCAGCCUCACGUAGCAGAAAAAUAAGUUCUUUUAAUCAUGUUACUCCUACAAACACAAAAUAUCAAAAGUAUCAUAAAUACUUAAAGCUUCCAACUAAAUUAGACAAGAGAAGACAUAUAAAAGGAUGAAAUAUAAAGUUUAAAUAUUGGUUUAUCAUUUAGCGUCACAAUGGAUUAGCAAUAUUGUAAUUUAAAUUUGCUUUUGACGAAUUUAUUACAUAAAAUUUAACUUGUUCUAUUUUUAUUUUCUUUGCAUAACAAAUCCUAUAAACACAAAAAUAACGUAAAUAGCUCAAAAAUAUAAGGAACUAACUAAGAAAAGACG